CUUACAAUGCCAGCAACCCUUCUACUGCAUCACCUAAUCCAAAAGAUGCCAGUGAAGACAAAACCAACAAAGAAGGAGUAAUAGCUGGUGUCAUUGUAGGAGCCAUUUUGGGAUUUAUAUUAAUUGGCCUGAUUGGUUAUUUUAUAUGUGGUAAGAAAAGAUCUGACUCAUUUUCCCACAGACGGCUUUAUGAUGAUACAAGGAGUGACCCAGUUCUCCACUUAGACAACUCACUUGGACCAUAUGACACGAGUUUUGGAGGUGCAUCAGACGACAAAACCAGCACAGCAGACAAGACAGAGGAAGACAGUGCAGGGCA